UGCCAGCCGCCGCGGUAAUACGGAGGGUGCAAGCGUUGUUCGGAAUUAUUGGGCGUAAAGCGCGUGUAGGCGGUUCGUUAAGUCUGAUGUGAAAGCCCGGGGCUCAACCCCGGAAGUGCAUUGGAAACUGGCGAACUUGAGUACGGGAGAGGAAAGUGGAAUUCCGAGUGUAGGGGUGAAAUUCGUAGAUAUCAGGAGGAACACCGGUGGCGAAGGCGGCUUUCUGGACCGAAACUGACGCUGAGGUGCGAAGGCGUGGGUAGCGAACAGGAUUAGAUA
rnacentral:rRNA from 1 species